CGGGGCGAUACGUUCUAAGUGUAGCGUCUGGCGAUGACUCUCCUUCGGGUGGGGAUGUAGUGGCGAACGGAGUGAGUAACACGUGGGCCAUCUUACCUGCACUCUGGGACAAGCCCUGGAAACGGGGUCUAAUACCGGAUACUGAACCGCUUGGGCAUCCAGGCGGUUCGAAAGCUCCGGCGGUGCAGGAUGAGCCCGCGGCCUAUCAGCUUGUUGGUGAGGUAACGGCUCACCAAGGCGACGACGGGUAGCCGGCCUGAGAGGGCGACCGGCCACACUGGGACUGAGACACGGCCCAGACUCCUACGGGAGGCAGCAGUGGGGAAUAUUGCACAAUGGGCGAAAGCCUGAUGCAGCGACGCCGCGUGAGGGAUGACGGCCUUCGGGUUGUAAACCUCUUUCAGCAGGGAAGAAGCGAAAGUGACGGUACCUGCAGAAGAAGCGCCGGCUAACUACGUGCCAGCAGCCGCGGUAAUACGUAGGGCGCGAGCGUUGUCCGGAAUUAUUGGGCGUAAAGAGCUCGUAGGCGGCUUGUCACGUCGGUUGUGAAAGCCCGGGGCUUAACCCCGGGUCUGCAGUCGAUACGGGCAGGCUAGAGUUCGGUAGGGGAGAUCGGAAUUCCUGGUGUAGCGGUGAAAUGCGCAGAUAUCAGGAGGAACACCGGUGGCGAAGGCGGAUCUCUGGGCCGAUACUGACGCUGAGGAGCGAAAGCGUGGGGAGCGAACAGGAUUAGAUACCCUGGUAGUCCACGCCGUAAACGGUGGGCACUAGGUGUGGGCGACAUUCCACGUCGUCCGUGC
rnacentral:rRNA from 1 species